GCUCAAAAAAAUAUUAAAAUAUUGCGCAACAAACACUGAUUCUACCGACCGCAUUGCGCGCGGUUACAAAAAUUUUCUGAAAAUAGAUUGAUUAUUAAUACAAGAGAAAAGA